rnacentral:rRNA from 1 species
UGAGCUCAAAUUUAAAAUCUGGCAGUCUUUGAUUGUCCGAGUUGUAAUCUAGAGAAGCGUUUUCCGCGCUGGACUGUGUACAAGUUUCCUGGAUACGGAACAUCAUAGAGGGUGAGAAUCCCGUCCUUGACACAGACUCCCAGUGCUCUGUGAUGCGCUCUCGACGAGUCGAGUUGUUUGGGAUUGCAGCUCAAAAUGGGAGGUAAAUUCCUUCUAAAGCUAAAUAUUGGCGAGAGACCGAUAGCGAA